rnacentral:ncRNA from 1 species
UCCCCGCUUUUCCUCCCUGAGCGGGUGCCUUGAUGUGUGACAGCAAAAGGGCUUCCCGCCCGGCGUUCAGACGCCGGGCUUUUUUUU